CAUCACGCAGUCUGACUGCAGCAAUGCCGCGUGAAUGAUAGAAGGCCUUCGGGUUGUAAAGCACUUUUGUCAGGGAAGAACACGCUCUGGUUAAUAUGCUUGUACCUUGACGGUACCUAACCAAAAAGCCCCGGCUAACUACGUGCCAGCAGCCGCGGUAAUACGUAAGGGGCAAGCGUUAAUCGGAAUUACUGGGCGUAAAGCGCGCGCAGGCGGUUUCUUAAGUCUGAUGUGAAAUCCCAGGAUCAUCCGGGGAAGUGCAUUGGAAACUGGGGAACUUGAGUGCGGAAGAGGGAGGGAAUUCCACGUGUAGCGGUGAAAUGCGUAGAGAUGUGGAGGAACACCAGUGGCGAAGGCGGCUUUUUGGUCUGUAACUGACGCUGAGGCGCGAAAGCGUGGGGAGCAAACAGGAUUAGAUACCCUGGUAGUCCACGCCGUAAACGAUGAGUGCUAGAUGUUAGAGGGUUUUUGCCCUUUAAUGGUGCCGCUAACGCAUUAAUCACUCCCCCUGGGGAGUACGGUCGCAAGAAUGAAACUCAAAGGAAUUGACGGGGGCCCGCACAAGCGGGGGAACAUGGGGUUUAAUUCGAAGCAACGCGAAAACCCUUACCACGUCUUGACAUCCUCUGACAACUCUAGAAAUAGAAGGUGCCCCUUCGGGAGACAAAAUGACAGGUGGAGCAUGGUUGUCGUCACCUCGUGUCGAGAGAUGUGGGUUAACCCCGCAAGGAGCGCCCCCUUGAUCUUAGUUGCCAGCAUUUACGUGGACACUCUAUGGUGACUGCCGGUGACAAACCGGAAGAAGGGGGGGAUGACCUCAAUUCUCGUGCCUCUUA
rnacentral:rRNA from 1 species